GUGUCUUUCUGCCACAUUCCUGUCCCAAGCUGCCCUGAGGCUGCUCCUCACUGGGCUGAGGCCCAGGGAACCAUCUGGAACCAGGUCUUAAUCCAAAGGUUGCUCUCAGCUUCCUGUUUGUGGUUGUGAUGUGAACUCAGCUUCCUGCUCUUGCUGCCAGGCCUCUUGAGCAAGACAGACCCUUAUCUCUCCGGAACCAUCAUGCUACUUAGGCUGAAAUCCGAUUACAGUGAGAAGCGCCGCUCAGAAUUAGGCCAGUCAAUCCGGAAAAGAACAGUCAUCAAUACCACUGCAAAAGUAGCUUGCUCUUCAUGGUCAGUGGGAGCAUGAAUCCUGGGCCUCUACAUGGCUUCUGGCAAUAGCAGGAACCACGGAUGUUCACAUGGUUUCCGACAUCAGCACAGAACCUCUGCCUGGCCUCCAGUGGCAUCACCAAUCACAGACAUAACACAGCCUCUGUCAAAGCCUGGGCCCCAGGCACCAUCAUAGCCCUUGGAGGCAGCGCAGGCCAUCAACAUGGACUCCAGGGCAACACCGGCCAUGGACAGUGGCCACUAACAUGGAGCCCAACAUGAACCCCAGCAGCAGCCUGGCCCACGGAUACCAACACAGCCUCAGGUAGCAGCAUAGACCAUAGAGAGACCACAAGCAUCAAUAUGGCCCUGUGUGCCAGCACAGCCCAUGGAAAUCGACAUGGCUUCAGACAGAGGCACAGACCAUUGAUAUCUGCAUGGCCGUAGGUGGUAACGUGGGCCACAGACACCAACAUGAACCCCAGCUGCAUCAGGACAACAAUCCCAGACAUGGCCCUUGGCAGCAGCAUGGACCGUGACAUCAACAUGGCUUCAGACGGUAGCAUAGACCACAUGGCCCUCAUGUGGCAGCAGGGGUCUCAGACAUCAACAUAGCUUUCUUGGCUGCAGUAAGGCCACAGACCCAUACAUGGCCCUUAGUAGCAGCAUGGAUGGCAGACAUCCACGUGGCCCUCCGGCUUCUCCUUAGUCUGGGGCAGUAGUACGGACCACUGAAUGAGCAUGGCCUUCAGGGAAAGUAUGGACCAUGGAGAUCUUUUGAGGAACUCUAAUCCAGGAAAUGAACCACUCUUCAUCUGGAAUGUCCCGUCACUGCUCAUAACCAGGGGGAUCGUCCUGUUGGGCAGCUUGUUUUGGGGCUGAGUCUGUGCAAGUGCCAGGCUGCUGUGCACCACCCUGCCAACCCCAAUAGCAGCACCAUGUUCUUCCAUUAAUUUCAUCUUCUCAGCGGUUGAGCUUUUAGUUCCACUCCUCUUCACCACACAUGGAACACUCAGUUCCCUCAUCUUUUCCUCCUCUCUCUCACAUACUAAUCAUCUUAGUGGCUUUUGGAAGCUGCAGUGUGCCACAAAGGGUUUUUUUUUUGUGUGUGUGUGUCUCCCCCACCCCCCACCAAACAGCUUUAUAUGCAAAUGUUCAUUGCAACUAGUGGUUGGUCUGGUUCAAGGUCUCUGGUUUCUGACACACCAUCCAUGCUGGAGCAUCACUGAGCCUCAUCUCGGAUAUCCUGCUGCUGUUGUCCAGUCAUGGUGGUCCUGAGCCUCUGGCUCUGCUGGACUGCUUCCUUCACAUGCUCCAGUGGUUUGUAGAUGGAGUGGAUGUUGGGGUGGACUGACUCAAAACUGGAUCUAAGCCUGGGUGGUAGUAGCUGAGUUGGUCAGUCUGGGCCUUCAGCAGGCUGGUGGGGCCUGCAUGCCCUCCCCCCAACCCCCUGCUGAGCCAAUAGGCAUAUCAAGAUUAUUGUCACAAUAAACUUUCAGAUCUUAAGUGUGUG
rnacentral:lncRNA from 1 species